GGUGAAUUGUGGGGUUUGACAGAUUUUUUUUUAGUCCCUGAAAACCAUGACUCAAGCCUUUUUCUGGAAACCCAGAGACGGACCUGGCCAGAGAGUUCAUCAAUGUAAUUCACAUAAAAACCCAGCACUGAGACCAGUUCCAGAAUAAAUAAUGACUUACAGUAUAACAAUGUGCCUGUGAAAACAUACAGCUCUUCGUUUGUCAACACGUAUGAACCCGAUUUUAGCUUUUAAAAAAAAAAAGCGUACUUCCAGCUAACGAGCAGAACACAGACAGAGAACACUUAAACCGUCACCCUGGUCCGACAGACAGAGAACACUUAAACCGUCACUGUGGUCCGAUCAUCCUGUGAUUAUGGCGAAAUAUUGAGAGUCCAAAGCAUUUGCUGAACACGUGCCUGGCAGUGUCCCAAAUAACGAUGAGAAACACGAGGACAGGAUGUCCAAGGGCUUUAACAUUCUAACCCUAUUUCUGCCUCAACUGUAGGAUGGACACACGGAGGAUGCUAAGCUAUCCCCUGGUUUUGUUUAGCUUUUAUGGCUAAUGUGAGUUUUGAAACUUAGGGUAGAAACAGCCAGACCAAAAUCUGCUGCCAGACUCCCCGGGAAGAUGAGACCCAGUGCAUGGCUCUCACCGAAGGCCACUCUCUUUGUGGAACCCUGACA